CAGAGAUGAUGAACUUAUUGACGGGCGGACAGAGACUUGUGUGCUGAUUGUCAUGUUCUGAUUUG
ensembl:snoRNA SNORD43 small nucleolar RNA SNORD43